rnacentral:rRNA from 1 species
UACGUAGGGGGCAAGCGUUGUCCGGAUUUAUUGGGCGUAAAGGGUAGGUAGGUGGUCUCAUUUGUCUGAGGUGAAAGCCUUGAGCUUAACUCAAGAAGUGCCUUAGAAACGGUGAGACUGGAGUCCUGGAGAGGGUCGUGGAAUUCCCGGUGUAGCGGUGAAAUGCGUAGAGAUCGGGAGGAACACCAGCGGCGAAGGCGGCGACCUGGACAGGUACUGACACUCAACUACGAAAGCGUGGGUAGCAAACAGG